UAUUGCCUUCCACCCAAUACAAAUAUGACACUUGUUUUCAUCCUCUCCAUUUCUGCUCUCAUGUUUGCCAGGAUCAAUACCCAAGGACGGGCACUUCUCUAAGAGCUGUGAUUGAGCUUGGUGUGGGGCCUGACAUGUUCCAAAAUUAGACAAACAGAAGGAGCGUUUUAUGGUGAAACAUAGGGCAGAACAGGGAUUCCUUGGGCACAGAAAUGUGCAGGUGGUAUGCUGA
rnacentral:lncRNA from 1 species